rnacentral:rRNA from 1 species
GGUGAUGGCUGCAGGGAUCCACCUGUUCCCAUACCGAACACAGCAGUUAAGCCUGCAAACGCCGAAAGUACUUGGGUGGAAGCGCCC